UCAGAACGAACGCUGGCGGCAGGCCUAACACAUGCAAGUCGAGCGCACCCUUCGGGGCGAGCGGCGGACGGGUUAGUAACGCGUGGGAACAUACCCUUUUCUACGGAAUAGCCUCGGGAAACUGAGAGUAAUACCGUAUAAGCCCUUCGGGGGAAAGAUUUAUCGGUAAAGGAUUGGCCCGCGUUAGAUUAGAUAGUUGGUGGGGUAAUGGCCUACCAAGUCUACGAUCUAUAGCUGGUUUUAGAGGAUGAUCAGCAACACUGGGACUGAGACACGGCCCAGACUCCUACGGGAGGCAGCAGUGGGGAAUCUUAGACAAUGGGCGCAAGCCUGAUCUAGCCAUGCCGCGUGUGUGAUGAAGGCCUUAGGGUCGUAAAGCACUUUCGCUAGGGAUGAUAAUGACAGUACCUAGUAAAGAAACCCCGGCUAACUCCGUGCCAGCAGCCGCGGUAAUACGGAGGGGGUUAGCGUUGUUCGGAAUUACUGGGCGUAAAGCGUACGUAGGCGGAUCAGAAAGUAUAGGGUGAAAUCCCGAGGCUCAACCUCGGAACUGCCUUGUAAACUCCUGGUCUUGAGUUCGAGAGAGGUGAGUGGAAUUCCAAGUGUAGAGGUGAAAUUCGUAGAUAUUUGGAGGAACACCAGUGGCGAAGGCGGCUCACUGGCUCGAUACUGACGCUGAGGUACGAAAGUGUGGGGAGCAAACAGGAUUAGAUACCCUGGUAGUCCACACCGUAAACGAUGAAUGCCAGUCGUCGGGUAGCAUGCUAUUCGGUGACACACCUAACGGAUUAAGCAUCCG
rnacentral:rRNA from 1 species